CCUGCCACGAGAACACACCCUUUCCAGUUUGCUGGAGAAAUAUAAGAGAAGUCCAGUGAAAGAGAGCUGAGUUUCCCCAAUGAUGCCAUCAAGAUGAACUAACUACAGUUAACCAGCCAGCUGAUAGCAGAUGCAUGAGUGAGCCCAGCUGAGAGCAGUGCCUACAAUAGUUCCUGGUAUGUAGAAGGUAUACAAUAAAUAUUGGCGGAGUGAAGGAACAAAUGGGAUUUGCUUGAUUCUGCUGCAGAAGACUAAGGAAAAGACAUAAAUGAAUAAAUAA
rnacentral:lncRNA from 1 species